AAUUACCUGAGAGAUCAGGUUCCCCUUCGGGGGCAAAAUGACAGGUGGUGCAUGGUUGUUGUCAGCUCGUGUCGUGAGAUGUUGGGUUAAGUCCCGCAACGAGCGCAACCCUUAUGACUAGUUGCCAGCAUUUAGUUGGGCACUUUAGUAAGACUGCCGGUGACAAACCGGAGGAAGGUGGGGAUGACGUCAAAUCAUCAUGCCCCUUAUGACCUGGGCUACACACGUGCUACAAUGGAUGGUACAACGAGUUGCGAGACCGCGAGGUCAAGCUAAUCUCUUAAAGCCAUUCUCAGUUCGGACUGUAGGCUGCAACUCGCCUACACGAAGUCGGAAUCGCUAGUAAUCGCGGAUCAGCACGCCGCGGUGAAUACGUUCCCGGGCCUUGUACACACCGCCCGUCACACCAUGAGAGUUUGUAACACCCGAAGCCGGUGGCGUAACCCUUUUAGGGAGCGAGCCGUCUAAGGUGGGACAAAUGAUUAGGGUGAAGUCGAAAAAAAGAUGGCAAUUUCCCCG
rnacentral:rRNA from 2 species